ACGAACGCUGGCGGCGUGCUUAACACAUGCAAGUCGCACGGAAAGGCCCUGCUUUUGUGGGGUGCUCGAGUGGCGAACGGGUGAGUAACACAUGAGUAACCUGCCCUUGACUUUGGGAUAACUUCAGGAAACUGGGGCUAAUACCGGAUAGGAGCUCCUGCUGCAUGGUGGGGGUUGGAAAGUUUCGGCGGUUGGGGAUGGACUCGCGGCUUAUCAGCUUGUUGGUGGGGUAGUGGCUUACCAAGGCUUUGACGGGUAGCCGACCUGAGAGGGUGACCGGCCACAUUGGGACUGAGAUACGGCCCAGACUCCUACGGGAGGCAGCAGUGGGGAAUAUUGCACAAUGGGCGGAAGCCUGAUGCAGCAACGCCGCGUGCGGGAUGACGGCCUUCGGGUUGUAAACCGCUUUCGCCUGUGACGAAGCGUGAGUGACGGUAAUGGGUAAAGAAGCACCGGCUAACUACGUG
rnacentral:rRNA from 1 species